AGAGCUGGCCAGCCCCUGCAGCAGGGUGGGAGCAUUAGGACAUGUCCACACGUCUUCAAGGGAAAAUGGCUAAGGGCUGUCAGAGAGGCCCAGGGAAGAGGCCUGGGUAGGGGCGAGCAGGGAGCAGACAAUCACUUGUUGAAGGAAGAUCCAAGUCCAGGAAGGAACGUAGGGCAGUUUGGUGUCAUGGAACUGGGGGCCCAGCCGAGGGGCUCAAGAGCCCUUCAGACUCUGCCUGAGCGAGGGUGGUGCUCUGUCACCCAGGCUGGAGUGUAG